CGGGGAGUAGCGCAGUUUGGUAGCGCAUCUGGUUUGGGACCAGAGGGUCGCAGGUUCAAAUCCUGUCUCCCCGACCA
rnacentral:tRNA from 2 species